AAAAUAUAGGGGGACCUGUAGCUUAAACUUGAGCUUUAAGGCUAGCCUACCGGUUGGUACUCCCACAACCAUCAUGAAAUUAAUCAGCUAACAUUCUCCUAUGCUCUGACCAAAUUAAGUAUGCGCUUGGACUCCUUAUGUCGGUGAAGUAGCAUCGGAUUUCUGAUCUGCAUCAGCUGUAGCUUGAACUUGAGCAGCAUAUUGUAGGUUCCACAGAACAUCCUCAAACGAGGGCCGAGUUGACG
rnacentral:misc_RNA from 1 species